GUCUAUGACCGUGCCACCCUGAACAAGCCCAAUCCCAUCUGAUCUUGGAAGCUAAGCAGGGUCAGGCCUGGUUAGUACUUGGAUGGGAGAUUACCUAGGAAGAUCAGGUGCUGUAGGCA
rnacentral:rRNA from 1 species